GAGCUCAGCUGUAUGGGAUUCUUCCGACGGAUGCAUCUCACUGAAACUCGCUCGUGUUCGGCGGCAGGCAAAUCCGGCGGUUUAAAGCGCCACAACGGCAGCUCCGUUCACCGAUAACCGCCUCCAGGGGGCGGCAGCUCUGUUGAUCGGUCAUGGCUGUUUUGUCUUUCAUUCGUUAACAUCAAAUCUCAGCCAAGUUCCACUACUUUCCCUUCGAUUUCCUACUCUUUUUCAUUGCUGGUCCUCAAAUUACAUCAUCCUUCGAUCUUGGUGCUUGGAAGGGUCUUCGAAUUUGUACGAUUCUGUGAUUCUUCUGUUUUAGGAGCUGUACAGGGAGUUGAAGUCUCGGUACAGACGAUUGGAGGUUUGGACUGUCCAAUCUGAAUAAUAUCUCAGUAUGAGAACGGCGAAAAGCAUCCAGGAAGACGAAGAGUACGAGGAGGACGAGCUGGUUGCUAAAAGAGAGGGGCCUGCUUCUACUUACAACGCAAACAGUAGCAUCGGAAACAGCAAAGAUGGGAAGAACAAUGAUAAGGCUAAUGCCAUAAGGUCGAAGCACUCAGUCACGGAACAGCGCAGAAGAAGCAAGAUUAAUGAGAGAUUCCAGAUUUUGAGAGAUCUUAUACCUCACAGCGACCAAAAGAGAGAUACCGUAUCGUUCUUAUUGGAGGUGAUUGAGUAUGUACAGUAUUUACAGGAAAAGGUGCAGAAAUACGAGGGUUCAUAUCAGAAUUGGAGUGGGGAACCUACUAAGUUGAUACCAUGGAGAAAUAGUCAUUGGCGUAUGCCGACUUUUGUUGCCCAUCCCGAGUCUGUAAAAAAUGGUUCUGCUUCAGGACCAAUGUAUUCGGGGAAGUUUGAUGACAAUAUUUCAAUUUCACCAGCCAUGCUUGCGAGCUCACAGAAUCCUCUCGAGUCCCACGCAGGCAGUGAUAUUCUACAGGAUGCUGACAUAACAAAUAAAGUUCCACUUCCCAUGUCUCUGGAAGGAAAUACACAUGCUUCUAUCCAUAGUGAUGGUGUUCAUGAUCAAUCUCUCCACGUUCCAAUUUCUGAUGCACAGACAACAGAGUGUCCCAUCACCAACAAUGCAUCAAGCCAACUGGAGGAGAUGAGUAUUCAAGGGGGGACAAUAAGCGUUUCGAGUCUUUAUUCAGAAGGGUUAGUUGUUUUGGUAACAGCUCUGGAACUUGGUGCUGAGCAGGUUAUUGAACAGCUUGACUCAAGCUCUGCAGAAUACUGGACUGGAUUUGUCACAGGCUAGUAUCUCCGUUCAGAUUGAUCUGGGCAAGAGAGCAAAUAAGAGAACGCCAUGUGGAACCUCUAUUUAUAAGGAAACUGGGAAUCCUCCUUCCGGCCACCCAUCAAUGGCAAAUGAAGGGGACCUGGACAGUGAAGACGACUCAGAUCAAGUCAAUAAGCGGCGUAGGACAUGAUUAUAUGGCGUCUCGAGUCUCGAGUUCUCCGUGCAGUUACCAUUUUUAAUGUGUCAUAUCUAUUGUACAGAUUUGCCUUUUAUCUUCCUUGACCUUCUACAAUUUCUUCAAACUCAUAUUGCUAUGAGUAUCAGUGUUUAAGCUUUAAAGAAGGGUUAUUUUUUUUCCCAGCAGAAUAUAUAACGAUUGUCUCUA